CCGUGGGGCGGGGGCGCGUGUGCUUGUGUGAGGAAACUCGGCGCUGCGAAAGUCAAGUUGAUUGUGAUAUAGUCCUGGCCCCAUGGCUGACGAUCCUGAUCAGAAGGCGGCAGGGCACAGCCCAGCAGUGAAAGUCGGUGGUGCACGUGUAGUGCAGAAGAAGCCACACAAGGAUAGUGAGGGAGAUGGAAAGGAAGCAGCUGCAGCUGAUAGCACCCAGGCCAUUGGAAUGUUCUCUCAGAGUCCGCCGAAGCUGAGCGUGACCUCAGGUCAGCCUACUGCGGACGACACCAACCGGGAGUUCCCUACGGAGGCGGUGAAGCACAUUCACGAGAAGCCUAAGCCGAGCCAGGUGGUGCCGCGGCCCUCUCAACAGGGGCACUUCAUUCACCAGCCCAAGAAAUAGACUGUGACCCACACCCACACACCGGACUGAUCGCCCUCGACUGGACCCCGGGCUGGCCGCGGUUGUACCUCAUCUUAUUUGUGCUUGUCUUCUCUGUCCAUAUCUUUCGAUGCGUCUCGUCAAAACGCGAUUUUGAGAGCCCAUGCAUUUAGGUGAUGGAGGUGACAUUCACUGCUCAAGUGGGUUUUCUCCGUCGUCUUUCGGUAUGAGAUGCGUGAACAUUUUGCUUUCACUGACUUCUGGGCGUUUUGCUUAUCUUUGGGGUUCUUAGAAGAAUUUGGUGUGGGUUUUGAUUGAGGGGGAAGGGGUGUUGUUGGCAUUUGCAUGGCUAUACAUGGUUUGGCAGAUUCUGAUGGUUGUAGCCGCGGCACACGCUCCCGCUUACUGUGCGAGACGCGUAUUGGUGUAUAGUAUUUCGCGCGAUAAAAUUACACAUCGGUCCGCUAUUGUCAGCUUUAGUGCCGUUCACCAGGCGCAGUGCCGGCAUCGUAAAUGUCAAGCACAGGGUGUACUAUGUGCUGUGGCGGUGACUGGGCGAGUCAGAUGCGGAUAUGAUAUUCACAGUUGUUUGACGCCAGGUAACUGCCACCAAGGUCACGUGCGUUCACCAUGCGACUAGCUUGAUGUGCCGGGGGAGGGGAUGAUUCCGCCGUUUAACGGCCAGCCUGGAGCCCCAGGUCGCGGGAAGGGUGGCGGGUUCCAUAUCCGCUCUGCAGUUGCUCGCCAAAAUCUUCACGUACGGGCCGCUGCCGUCCUGGCCACGGCGACAGUGUGUCGGCUGGCAGCCUGUGCUGUCGCCGGCGCGGCGUGAUAAUGUCAAUAAAGACGAUAAAAUUCC
rnacentral:misc_RNA from 1 species